AUCCUGACUCUGGGGAAGCGCAGACGGGAGAAACCAGCCCCACGCAGACCAGGCCGAGUCCUCAGCCCUGCUGCUCCUGUUCCCCACAGACCAAAUCACCGUUGCCAUAGACGGCGUGGAUCAGUUUCCCGGGGCUGCAGGACGAGAGCACCGAAAACGUGGCCGAAACAACAGAAACAUAGUCUCUGUGUCCUGGAGGCAAGAAGCCCAGAAUCAAGGUGUGAGCAGGGCCACGCUCCCUCUGAAGGCUCUGGGGGCGGGGCGGGGGGAUCUUUCCUCCCCUCUUCCAGCUUCUGGAGGCCCCUGGAUGCCUCAGAGAUCCAUCACUCCUAUCUCUGCCUCUGUGGUCACGUGGCUUCUCCUGGGUGUCUGCGUCCACAUUUCUGUCUCCUUACAAGGACACCUGUCAUUGGAUGAGGACCCACGCUGCUCCAUUGUGACCUGGUUCCAACCCAGUUACAUCAGCCCACACCUAAGAAGGUCACACCCACAGGUACCAGGGGUUAAGACAUCAAUACCUCUUCUGGGGGGCGGGGCACAAUUCUACCCACUACAGAGGCUGUUUUCUUUUUUUUUGAAGUUUAUGUAUUGACUUUGAGAGAGACAAAGAGAGCAUGAGCAGGGGAGGCGCAGAGAGAGAAGGAGAGAGAGAGAAUCCCAAGCAGGCUCCAUGAGCUCCUGAUUAAUUGUUACCAAAUGUCAUCCGUAAAUUUCCCUUCCAUCUAAUAAUCCUCUCGGACGAUCUAACAACAUCCCCGGCGAGCUGGCGAUACCGAGGCUGAGUUUCUGAGACAGGGAGCGGGUGACACCGGUACCUCCAGUGACUGGCGACGGGCGGUGGACAGCGUUCAACGGAGCUGCCAUCUCUGAAAUACAAUUAUCAGUGUGAUCUGCUUAAGGAUUCAUCAUCAGCUCCUGCCUUCUGAAGACUUAAAAAAAUGCCAAGACACACAGAGAGAAAGAGGUGAUAAGAAGGCAUCAUUUUCCUCCAGCCUCAUAACUGUAAAUUGAAGAAAAUUAUUUUCUUUGCCUGCAGCUCAUUGGCAUAUAGGCAGCAUUAUAUUAUAAUUUCAUAAGCAUAAAUCCUUUGAAUAAAUUUCAGAGGAAUAACUGAAUUAGAAAUGCAAGUAAAGUAUCUAAAAAACUUAACUGUAGCAGGCAGGGGAGAGGAGGUGUGAGGGGCACAGGCAAGGAGGAGAGCCCCCUCUGGGCGCCUCCCGUGGGUCCCCAGAGGCCCGGGAAGAGCUUGGUCAGGGAGAGGCCGUUUCUCACCCCCUUCUGUGCCUGAUGGCGAAUAAAAGAAGUUCUUCUCCUCUCCCCUUGCUCGUGUUCCAAGGAAUUUGAGCCGUAAUUCAUCAUAAAUUAAUUUUGGAGAAACAACAGGCUUGGGGCGUGUUAUAAUUAUUGUUAUUUGUUUAUUUAUUAUCGUGUUAACCAUUAUUUAUUAUUGUGUUAAGCAUAUGUGAGAUCACAAAGGUUGCUCCUGCGGUUUCCUAGCAACAAGUCUGUGGGUCCGCCACGCAAGUUUCCCAUCUCGGUGGGGGUGGGAGGCGGAUGCCGGGUCAGGGGCCCGAGGCGUCUGUCCCUUCCUGAGGGCGCCCCUUGGGAUGCACUGUGGAGGAGAAGGGUCGGCCUGGCCCCCUGCUGAUGGCUCACCAGCCGCCCCGCAGAUUAUCUUCAAACAAAGACCACUUGGAGGCCAAACCCUGGCCCCGGGGGCUGGCUCAGCUUGGACAAGGACGUCCUUUCCCAGGCCCAUGUUGGUCCUCAGGGAGGUGGCCACCAGGCCCCCUCCAUGGCCAAGGGACAUGUGGGGGGGAGGAGGCUAAGGGUUGGGAAGAGGAUGGAAAACUUCCUGGGGGCCUCCGCGCCCCCCUGUCGCGGCCUGGGGCAGCCCCGUGCAGCUCCCCACCUCCCCAGGGUGACCGACUGGCUUCAGGAGCCCGUCACCAUGUAUGUAAUGGGAACAGAGGCACAGAGCCCGGAGUUUCAACUGCGUUCACACAGCCUCUCAGGAGCAUGAAUAUCCAUUUGCAAUGUCUGUUCUUGUGUCAGCACAGAAGUGCAGAGAGGGAUUGGUUUCCAUGUUUCCGGCACAGGGACCUUGCCGGGUAAAGGAAACCUUACCUGGGGGCCCACAGAGUGCGAUGCAGGACGGGGGCGCUGAACCAGAGUGACGGGACGGGUCUCCUUUGUCCGGCGUCCUCAGACAGACCCCCACGCCUCCCAUAUGGAUCACUUCCUCUCCUGGUUAAGAAACGCAUAGCAAAGGGGCCCGGUGACGUCAUUACUUUCCCAGUAUGGCGAAGCCACCGCACACAGCGUCCCAGGCAACGCCCCUCCCCCCCAACUGCCCGGUGAAAUCCCCUGGGAGUGGCAUUUUUUUCCCAGUAAGCUUUUAAUUUUAGAAUAAUUGGACUUACAGAAAAAUUACAAAGACAACAUAGUGCCCCCACAUGCCACACACCCAGUUUCCCUCUUAGUAGCCUUGUCUGUUACGAUGGAUUGCGUCCAGGACAGCACAUUGCUUCAGUUAUCAGGUCUCCUUAGGCUCCUCUUGGCUGAGCCUCUCAGGUUUCGCUGAGAUUAAUGACCUUGCCGGUUUUGAGGAAGGUGAGGACACGGCAAGAAGUCAGCAGUCUGCAAACCAGAAGAGGGCCCUCGCUGGACCACGCGGGCACCCUGAUCUUGGAUUUCCAGGCUCCAGGGCUGUGAGGACUCCUUGCUUGCUGUUUACAAGCCAUCAAACUCAUGCAACCACGGCUUCUCAGGAGCAAGCGUCUCGUGCUGGGUCCUUCAGACAUCAUCCGUUCAAGCUCUCUGAACAACCAUACCGCGUAGACAUUGUGAAACCCACAGAGACGAGAAAACAGGCCGAGGGAGGUCAGGUGUCACCGUCCAGGUGGCCCGGCCGACACGCUUCGGAAGGGGGACCUGAGACUCCGGAGGGCGUUGUCUUCUUGAGAGUGUGACACUGGCACAAGCAUCCCAUACACGAGCCUCCAGACCCGGGACGCCGACAGGGAGACACGGGAGCCGUUCUUGCCCGGAGCUGCCAAAGCAAGUGUAAAUGCCCGGGUUCCACCUGCCGGGACACCCGCCACUGAGCACCGAUUCCCUCCGCCAACCUCAGCUCUUCCCAAACCGGAGCCCUCGCGGUCUCCCACACACACCUCUGCUCCUUGCUGUCCCCUCCCUUCUCCCACCUGUUGGGCCCUUCAGGACUCAGUAGAAAUGUCUCUUCCUGGGAAGCCUUCCUGAGUUUUGCUCCCUACACAUCACACUCAGAUGCUCUCGUGGUUUUCUUUCUUUUUUUUUUUAAGG